rnacentral:rRNA from 1 species
GGUGAACGCUGGCGGCGUGCUUAACACAUGCAAGUCGAACGAACAGAGGAGAGCUUGCUCUCCAAAGUUAGUGGCGGACGGGUGAGUAACGCGUGGGUAACCUGCCUCAUGCAGGGGGAUAACAUCUGGAAACGGAUGCUAAUACCGCAUAAACUAUGGAUGACCGCAUGGUCAUUAUAGCAAAGAUUUAUCGGCAUGAGAUGGACCCGCGUUGGAUUAGCUAGUUGGUGAGAUAACAGCCCACCAAGGCGACGAUCCGAUAGCCGGCCUGAGAGGGUGAACGGCCACAUUGGGACUGAGACACGGCCCAA